ensembl:misc_RNA 7SK 7SK RNA
GGAUGUGAGGGCGAUCUGGCUGCGACAUCUGUCACCCCAUUGAUCGCCAGGGUUGAUUCGGCUGAUCUGGCUGGCUAGGCGGGUGUCCCCUUCCUCCCUCACCGCUCCAUGUGCGAAGCUGCGCGCUCGGUCGAAGAGGAUGACCAUCCCCGAUAGAGGAGGACCAGUCUUCGGUCAAGGGUAUAUGAGUAGCUGCGCUCCCCUGCUAGAACCUCCAAACAAGCUCUUACUGUCUGCCAGACCAUCAGAUUAUUAAUAUGCGUAGUGAUUAUGAAAAUCAUUUCUAC